UUUUUACAGCAUCGUGGAGAGCUUACGUAUGUCUUAGAUUCUCUCUGCCACUAGCCAAGGAUAUUUGAGAAAGAUCCAGGAUAUUCUUAAGGAUUUUGUCCUCGCGGGUAGGAUAUCGAGUGAGCCGCCUAUUGCUGAGCUGGUGUUUCCGUCGUCGAAGAGCGAUUAGACUUUGGAUUUUCCUAUCAUACUAGGGUAAUUUGUGUUCAACCGAGCUCUGAAAAACGAAAAGUGAGGUAAAAAUCACGAGAAGCUGUCAUUUAUACCAACACUCACCAGCAUCCAAACACCUUUACCCGUAGACGUCGAAGUUUCGUUUGCCCCACGUCGCACCACACCGCCACGAGCUCAGCCGCAUUCCCUAUCCCUCAUCACUCACGCUAGUCCAGCAGCAUCGCAGUGAUUAACACAUAUUCAGGAAGAUGAAGUCCGUCUACCAGGUUGUGCUAGCUUUCCUUGCCGUCCUCGUGUGCGUGGCAUGGACGUGUCAGGCCUACGGUCUCGACCAGGACGAGUACAGGAGAGGUGCAGCUGAGAACGCACUCGACGAACAAGAGAUAUACGAAAUCAUUGAAAGCCUAGAACAUGCCAUGUCAAAAAGAGGAUCUGUAAAACAUCUUGGCCUUGCUAAUGUUGACAACUGGAGAAUGAUGAAGAAUGUCAACAGACUGAGGAAUCUUCUGAACAGCGGCAAACGAUCAGACCAGCAGCUCGAUUCCCAAUAAAAGCAGGUUUCUACAACACCAACACCUUUUUACAGCAAAGACUAAAAACAUUCCUGACCUUUCCGUUGGCUUCAUUUCCAAUAUUUUCACCAAGAUUUUUGCUCAGAAUUUAUUUUUCCCGAUUUAUAAUUCCAUCGCCCACUAAUGGCCCACGUUUGAAAAAAUGUACGGAUACAUGGAGCUGGUGAUGUUCAUACUAUCAAGUCAGUGCAAAUGGCCGAUGACUGCCUCUUUCUAUUUAAUGCAUAAACUCAAGACGCGGUUUGAUAUGAAUAAUUGUACCUUGACGCAGUGUUAUCAUAAACAAGCUUUUUGUCAAAAUUAGCUAAUGUUAUAAUUAACAAUGUGAUUAAAUUCUUGCUGGUUUGUAAUUCCUCAAAUUAAUGUUGUGUUGAUGUAUAUGUAUAUUUUAAAAUUGAUUUGCAUAACCUCUUAAAGAUAUAUACAGUGUGGUUUCAUAUUCAUGAAAAUGAUCUCUUGUGAAGUAACCAAGCAAUCGUGCAGAUACGACAUUACCUUUCAGCGUCAGCUUUUAUACAUUAUUAUGAUUCCUUUCUUUCAGUUUUUUUUCUUAAUAAAAACACCCACAAUGAAAUGAAACAUGUAUAAUGAAAAAAAAGCUUUAAUGCAGUUAAUUGCUUUUGUCAGAAUGAUAGAAAAGGUGCAUGAUAUUGAUUUUUGUUCCUUAUCUUCUGAAAGGAAUGCAAUCCUAAAAUAAAUUGAGUCCGAGAGUACCAGGUGAAAGUUAUUGAAGACAAACAUUUCAUUUUUAUGUCAAUGUUAGACUCCUCUGAUAUUAAUUUUAGACAAUUAUCCAUAUAGCAUAGGUCAGGUGGUCCCAUUGUUUGUAUCACUGAAUAAGUACUAAGAUGGUAUGUAUAUAUUCAAAUGCAAAUAAGCUGUAUAUGAAAGAUUGCUAUUUGUGAAUAUAACGGAUAGUUUAACCAUGUAAUUAGCCUGGUAAAUUUCGUAUAUAAAUCUGAUAAAAUCUUGGUUGAAGUAUGUGUUCCCCCUUAGAAGAGCAAAUUUGCUAUAAUAGAAUAUAGAGCUAUUUCAAGCUAAUUGUACUUUUGUUUUCAAUCUCAAUGUUCGCGAUUUAAAAGAAUGAAGUCAUAAAUAAAGGGGAUCAAAUAUGAAAUUCUUUGUAGAGCUAUCAUACUAUUAUCUGUUGUUUUACGACAAAUGUUUAUUUUUAUGUUGUUGAAGAGAGUAUAAUAUACAUCCUAUAACAAAAAAUGAAAUGAAAGCGCAUGUGGAAGUGUUUCUUUCAUGUCACGUGUUCGUGUCCAACUACCAAUGUUUUAACUCAAAAUUCGUUUUGUCGUAGAUUGCGUGAACUUGUGAGCACAGAAAGCCUUGUGAGGUUGCGAUGAUUUUUACUUCAUAAAUUACAAAGUCACUUGUUCAUAGCUAAUGAUUAUCAUAUAUGAUCUUCUAAUGAUUAUCAAAAUCUCAUGAAGUUGAUCUUGAAGUCAAAACGAGAAAUGUCAACAACAAAAAAAGAAUUAUAGAAACCAAAUAUUUAUGGCUUUAAUAUUUUGGUCCGUAUAUUAAGAGUGCCUAAGAUACCACGGUGAACAUACAUACAACAGUUAAAAUAAGGUAAAUGUCUUCAUUUGACAUUUUGUUGUCAUCAUUCAAAUCUCUCCUUUAAUGAAAAGAAGUGACCUCAAACACAAUGAAUAAAAUUACUGUAUAUUAUUAAUCUA